AUCUAGAUGAUGAACCCAAAAUAGGAUGAAAUGCGCAUCCCAGAU
rnacentral:hammerhead_ribozyme from 1 species